AUCUGGAAAGUAUGACCGACAGGAGCAGCUUACUCACCAUUAGAUAAGUAUUGCAGAUGACUCAUGCUGGAGUAUUGAUAGCUGUGCUGCUGAGAUGGAUAUCCUGUUUUAUAACAGCUGUAGCAUGAUGCCAAGAGCCAGGAACCUUAAUUUAACUCUCCAUACUUUUCUCUGAAUGUACUUUGGGUCUCUGGCACCUUCUCUCAUUGGUUUUUCCAUCUAAAGGGUUCAGAGGGGAGGUUUUGCUUCCCUGAGUGAGGUGCAGUGUAUGGGGCAGCUCAUGUCACCUUGAAAUGAAAGCUAGUGUUGAAACGCUGCAGGUUUAUAGCUGUUCUUCAGGACAUGCAAUAUUUGUCUUUUUAACAGAUGCUAUUAGUGACUUUCCUCGAUUCUUUGGGUUUUUUGGUUUUGUUUGUGUUUUUUUUCAGAGCCAUUAUACCCCUUCUUCAGCAGAACAAACCAGAAGGUACAGAAACAGCAGCUAUGUGGGAGAGCAGCAAUCUGGCUGAGAUGUGGACUCCUGUGCCUCGAAUGUCUGAAGCUGCACGAGGUGAGCGCCCCUCUCACUGCCUGUGUGUGUGAUGAGGAGAUAGUGGGACAAAGAACCUAACAAAGAACCGCCUGACACCGCCUGAGAUGAAAAUAGUAUGGAAACUUUAAUCAGCUCUCUGCAACUGAGCAGUCUCUGGAGGUCCUGUACCAAACCUGACCCACUUGCUGAACCCCAGCAGAGCAGCACUGGGCAUUCCUCUGCCUGCCUGCAGAAGAAUGAAAGGACAGCAGUAUGAAAAGAGACAAGGACAGCAAUCAGUGGUAGAUGUUGCUGAGAAGAUGAUGCCCAUGUGCUGCUCAGAAGGGCUGCUGAGCUGCCAGACAAGCCCCAAGCCUUCCCCUUCCUGUGUGCACGUGUCCUGCUGGCUGCAGCCCUUGCUGGACCCUGGAGGAUGCCAGGCUCUGGCACUCCCCGGGCAGUGAAGCUCCAGGGCCUUUGAAAGGCUGUCCAGAAUAUUGAGGGAAAACUGCCUCCUCCUCCUCCCUGGACACAAACCUCAUUGAUUUGCUGCUGUUUUUUCUUAUUUUUUUCUUUUGGCUGUCUGAAUAACUGAAGUACAAACCUAUUCGACAUUAAUUCACUAAUGGAUGGCAGAAGGUUUCAUGUUUGGUUUUUAAUUGAAAGACUGAUGAUGCAAUUAUAAACCUCAUAUCCAUUAUGUAUCUUUGAACCAUGUGAAAAGUAUGAAUUUUUACAGAAAACAUGAGAGUGGUGGGGUUGUGGAAUAAACUUCUUUAAUGCCUGAAUUUUAAUC